rnacentral:rRNA from 1 species
UAUUGGACAAUGGGCGCAAGCCUGAUCCAGCAAUGCCGCGUGUGUGAAGAAGGCCUGCGGGUUGUAAAGCACUUUAAGCAGGGAGGAAGGCUCUAAGGCGAAUACCCUUGGAGAUUGACGUUACCUGCAGAAUAAGCACCGGCUAACUCCGUGCCAGCAGCCGCGGUAAUACGGAGGGUGCGAGCGUUAAUCGGAAUUACUGGGCGUAAAGCGCGCGUAGGCGGUUGACUAAGUUUGCUGUGAAAGCCCCGGGCUUAACCUGGGAACUGCAGUGAAUACUGGUGGGCUAGAGUAUGGUAGAGGGUAGUGGAAUUUCCGGUGUAGCAGUGAAAUGCGUAGAGAUCGGAAGGAACACCAGUGGCGAAGGCGGCUAUCUGGACCAAUACGACGCCGAGUCGAAA